GACGAACGCUGGCGGCGUGCUUAACACAUGCAAGUCGAACGGAAAGGCCCUUCGGGGUACUCGAGUGGCGAACGGGUGAGUAACACGUGGGUGAUCUGCCCUGCACUUUGGGAUAAGCCUGGGAAACUGGGUCUAAUACCGAAUAGGACCACGCGCUUCAUGGUGUGUGGUGGAAAGCUUUUGCGGUGUGGGAUGGGCCCGCGGCCUAUCAGCUUGUUGGUGGGGUAAUGGCCUACCAAGGCGACGACCGGUAGCCGGCCUGAGAGGGUGACCGGCCACACUGGGACUGAGAUACGGCCCAGACUCCUACGGGAGGCAGCAGUGGGGAAUAUUGCACAAUGGGCGCAAGCCUGAUGCAGCGACGCCGCGUGAGGGAUGACGGCCUUCGGGUUGUAAACCUCUUUCAAUAGGGACGAAGCGCAAGUGACGGUACCUAUAGAAGAAGCACCGGCCAACUACGUG
rnacentral:rRNA from 1 species